rnacentral:rRNA from 1 species
UACAGAGGUUCCAAGCGUUGUUCGGAUUCACUGGGCGUAAAGGGUGCGUAGGCGGUUGGGUAAGUCUGAUGUGAAAUCUCCGAGCUUAACUCGGAAAUGGCAUUGGAUACUAUUCGGCUAGAGGGUUUGAGGGGGGACUGGAAUACUUGGUGUAGCAGUGAAAUGCGUAGAUAUCAAGUGGAACACCAGUGGCGAAGGCGAGUCCCUGGAAAAAUACUGACACUGAGGCACGAAAGCUAGGGGAGCAAACAGG